rnacentral:rRNA from 1 species
UGGAGGAAAGCAGGGGAUCGUAAGACCUUGCGCUUUUGGAGCGGCCGAUGUCUGAUUAGCUUGUUGGUGAGGUAAAGGCUUACCAAGGCUUCGAUCAGUAGCUGGUCUGAGGGGACGACCAGCCACACUGGGACUGAGACACGGCCCAGACUCCUACGGGAGGCAGCAGUGGGGAAUUUUGGACAAUGGGGGAAACCCUGAUCCAGCCAUGCCGCGUGAGUGAAGAAGGCCUUCGGGUUGUAAAGCUCUUUCAGCCGGGAAGAAACGGUUACGAUUAAUACCUGUAACUACUGACGGUACCGGAAGAAGAAGCACCGGCUAACUACGUGCCAGUAGCCGCGGUAAUACGUAGGGUGCAAGCGUUAAUCGGAAUUACUGGGCGUAAAGCGUGCGCAGGCGGUUUUGUAAGUCAGAUGUGA